CAGCAAAUGUGCCACGUCAAGACUGGAAAUCACAGCCCUUGAGUGUGUCUCAGUCAGCGCAGCAGAAUUCAGGGGGGAAAGCUGAAUGCAACCCCUGGUGCAGGAAGGGAGGCUUUUCCUGAGGACCGGGAGAGGAUUUUAGGUUUUGCACACUAGGGACCAAGAAGCCCUCGGGGACACUGCUGAGAAAAGACUGCCGAAGGGAAGACCAGCGGGGAUCAUGGAAUCUAUUCCAGAGGAAACUAACCAACAGUGAGCAUCUUCAACUAAAACUACCCCUGGAUGUAAUAAGGGUUGCAUGCAUCAUUCCUUUAAUUGAGCAGAGUUAACUGGAUCAAAUUAUUUAUGGGAGAGAGAGGAAAAGUUAUAAAGAAUUAUAGUAAUUUUUAAUUUCCACCAAUAUACUCUUUGUAAGUGAAUCACUCUAUAAUUACUUUCUGUUGCACUGAAUGCAGCAACAAUAACACAAUAGUAUUUUAAGGCACUGGUUUUUGGCAUACUCUAACCUUGUAAUUAUUUAAAUAACAGCCAAGUUUACUCAUGUUUUUGAUUCUGUCAAGAAAAAAAA
rnacentral:lncRNA from 1 species